CGGGGGCUUUGGACCCUGGCGGCCCAAGCGGCACGUGGGCCUCGCAGCCGCAGAACCCCCCCACCUGGGGCAUCUCGCGAUCAUCGAGCCCUCGGUCUACUUGACAAUGAGGCUGAGCCUCCCAGGUGCGCUGAUUCGCCUCCCCUCCGGUUCCAGAUUGUGCACUCGCCGGAGCAGCGGCCCACCAGCCCCCGGCUCCGGCGCCACCAUCUUCGCGCUAAGCUCUGGCCAAGGCCGCUGCGGCAUCGCGGUGAUCCGGACCAGCGGCUCCGCCAGCGGCCACGCCCUCCGAAUUCUCACGGCACCCCGAGACCUGCCCCCUGCUCGCCACGCCAGCGUGCGCCUCCUCAGAGACCCCCGCUCCGGGGAGCCUCUGGACCGCGCACUGGUACUCUGGUUCCCAGGUGAGGGUCCCCAGGUUCCGAGCCUCCUAUAGGUCCCAUGACUCAGUUUCCCCCUUCCAAGGGUUUGCACUGGCUGUGCUGUCCUCCUGACUGUCAGCUGUCUGCCACAUUAGGUCCCCAGAGUUUCACUGGUGAGGACUGCGUGGAGUUCCACGUGCAUGGAGGCCCGGCAGUGGUGAGCG
rnacentral:sRNA from 1 species